ACAGGCCCAUACAGGCAUCCAGGGCAGCCCCUGCACCCAGCUGCCUUUCUGCUGGAAGGCCGUUUUCACAAGGCAGCCGGAAGCACUCCCGGGUAAUCUCGUCUGGAGAUGACUGCAUUUCAUUAUAAUUUAAGCCUUUCUUGGGCUUCAUCAAAGGCUAUGAGUGUCUUGAAAAAGAGAAGCGUCUCUUUCCUCAGUUCUGCGGGUGUCCCAGGCUGAGUGCUCUACCAUGUGGCUCACUGAGUCACAUCCUCACACAAACCUUCAGAGAGAAGUCCGUUAUUCUUCUCAUUUUACCCAUCGGGAAGCUGAAACUCCAGAAACAGUAAGUCACUUGUCCAAGAACACCCGGACCGGAAGGGCAUGUUUCCAUGUCUGCAUCUCAAAAUGAGUGACGUGCACAAUGAAACCAGGAGUGUGGAAGGAAACCACCAGGGCAGCCCAAGGAUGGCAAGUAACAUUGGACCCUUGGUGCCUGGGAAGCAAUAGGAACUGGGAUGAACCAGAAGACCUGCCUUGUCUCCAGCUGGAGCCCCCACUUGGAUGGAGCCUGCUACUGCUAUGUAGGAACUGCAGGCCCAGAUCAUCUAAUACUUCAAAAGAAGCUAAUGAUCUUGACUUGUAACAUGACAUUCCUGAUUACUGGUUCAAUAUGUUGUAACACCACCAGUGAGCUUAACAAAAAUCUGAGGUUUCUGGCUCAUGGGCUUCCUGUUUAUAAGACCUGUAUUGAAAAUGGUUUUCAACCUUUCCUCUUGUGGACCCUUUGAAAAUGCAAUGAAUACAAGUCAAAAGAAAAGCCCCUGUGUGAGAAGAUAUUUGCAAUUCAUAUAACUGCCAAGGAUUGAUUUCUAGAAUAUAUUAAAAUGAAACCCAACAAAAAACCCUUUAUGAAUCAAUAAAUUAAAAACAAUACAACCCAAUAGAAAAAUGGGUAAUAGACUUGAACUGUACUUUAUAUAAAGGACACCCUAAUGGCCAAUAAAUGUAUUAAAAGUGUCCCAUCUUAUUAAUCAUCAAAUAAAUGCAAAUUUAGCAAAAACAUUGCCCAUAGACACACCUGCAGGAUUGACAAAAGUGAAUCUACCUACCAAUACCAACACUGGUGAAGAUGUGGAGGAACUGGUACUCUCAUGCUGGUGGGAGUGUAAACAGGUAGAAACACUCUGAAAAAUGGUUUGAUUACAAAUAGUCAUCUUGCUUUUUAAACCUUAGGAGGAUAAUGAUCUGGGUUUGGUGUAUUAAAGCUUAAUUAUGUAUGCUUG